rnacentral:rRNA from 1 species
CGAAAGCUGACGAGCACGCCGGGUGGGUGAUGAGUUUCGGAUCGUAAAGCUCGUUGCCAGAGACGUCUUCUAGAGUAACUGCUAGAGAAGUGACGUACUUGAGAAGAAAGGCCCGGCUAACUACGUGCCAGCAGCGCGGUAUACGUAGGGGGCAAGCGGUUGUCCGGAAUAUUGGGCGUAAAGCGCGCGCCAGGCGGUCCUUAAGUCCUGUGUUUAAACCCGAGGCUCAACUUCGGGUCGCACUGGAAACCGGGGGACUGAGUGCAGAAGAGGAGAGUGGAAUUCCACGUGUAGCGGUGAAAUGCGUAGAUAUGUGGAGGAACACCAGUGGCGAAGGCGACUCUUUGGGCUGUAACUGACGGUGAGGCGCGAAAGCGUGGGGAGCAAACAGGAUUAGAUACCCUGGUAGUUCCCCCCGUAAACGAUGAAUGCUAGGUGUUAGGGGUUUCGAUACCCUUGGUGCCGAAGUUAACCCAUUAAGCAUUCCGCCUGGGGAGUACGGUUGCAAGACUGAAACUCAAAGGAAUUGACGGGGACCCGCCCCAGCAGUGGAGUAUGUGGUUUAAUUUGAAGCAACGCGAAGAACCUUACCAAGUUUUGACAUCCCUUUGAAUCCUUUAGAGAUAGAGGCGGCCUUUGGGACAGAGGUGACAGGUGGUGCAUGGUUGUUGUCAGCUUGUGUUGUGAGAUGUUGGGUUAAGUCCCGCAACGAGCGCCACCCUUGAUUUUAGUUGCCAGCCCAUCAUGGUGGGCACUCUAGAAUGACUGCCGGUGACAAACCGGAGGAAGGCGGGGAUGACGUCAAAUCAUCAUGCCCCUUAUGACUUGGGCUACACACGUACUACAAUGGCUGGUACAACGGGAAGCGAAGCCGCGAGGUGGAGCCAAUCCUAUAAAAGCCAGUCUCAGUUCGGAUUGCAGGCUGCAACUCGCCUGCAUGAAGUCGGAAUUGCUAGUAAUCGCGGAUCAGCAUGCCGCGGUGAAUACGUUCCCGGGUCUUGUACACACCGCCCGUCACACCACGAGAGUUUACAACACCCGAAGUCGGUGGGGUAACCCGUUAAGGGAGCCAGCCGCCGAAAGGUGGG